GAUGAAGAACGUAGUGAAAUGCGAUAAGUAAUGUGAAUUGCAGAAUUCAGUGAAUCAUCGAAUCUUUGAACGCAUCUUGCGCUCCUUGGUAUUCCUUGGAGCAUGCCUGUUUGAGUAUCAUGAGCAAAUCUCAAAGUCAAUUCCUUUUGUUAAUUCAAUUUGGUUUUGCUUUGGACUUGGAGGUCUUGCAGAUUUCACAGUCUGCUCCUCUUAAAUGCAUUAGCUGGAUCUCAGUAAUUAUGCUUGGUUCCACUCGGCGUGAUAAGUAUCACUCGCUGAGGACACUGUUAAAAAGGUGGCCAGGAAAAUACUGAUUGAACCGCUUCUAACGGUCUAUUAAGUUAGACAAUUACCCUUAAGUUUGAUCUCAAAUCAGGUAGGACUACCCGCUGAACUUAAGCAUAUCAAUAAGCGGAGGA
rnacentral:misc_RNA from 1 species